rnacentral:rRNA from 1 species
UACGAAGGGGGCUAGCGUUGUUCGGAAUCACUGGGCGUAAAGCGCACGUAGGCGGAUCUUUAAGUCAGGGGUGAAAUCCCGAGCUCAACUCCAGAACUGCCUUUUGAUACUGAGGAUCUUGAGUUCGGGAGAGGUGAGUGGAACUGCGAGUGUAGAGGUGAAAUUUCGUAGAUAUUAGCUAGAACACCAGUGGCGAAGGCGGCCAACUGGUCCGGAACUGACGCUGAGGUGCGAAAGCGUGGGGGAGCA